rfam:Populus trichocarpa scaffold_1_contig_270, whole genome shotgun sequence.
UCUAGAACUCUAGAUAUGAGCUGAACACUGAACAGUGUUUGGGCUGCAAGACAGAUUCCAACUUCUCUUUUGUUGCUACAAUUUGAACUUGAAAAUGACCCAUUUGAAUUUGGACUCUUCAUUAAAGUUUUAGGCCUAUGUCUUAGCUUUCCAUC